CUGUGGUGAGCGGUGUGUUUGUGAAAGAAGAAACACGGAGCAGAAGCAAAAAGCAACAGAAAUCCCUUCUGUGGUGACUUCAGAGUGCGGCUGCGGCCGCUGUCCCGCGGCCCAUCCCGCAGUACGAGAUGUCCUUUCUCCCGUCAAUGCCCCGGAGCACACGGCGGUGCCAAUGGCCGUGCCGGGCGCUGGGGCCGCGGGCACCGCCAUCGUAACUCGCUCUGAGCGCGGGCACUGCGGGACGGCACUACGAGGGAAGAAUUAAACCUGGUUUUGUGCGGGGUUAGAGAUCCCGGCAGCGCCUCUCGCACUGACUUGAUCUUUUGUUCUUGCACGUGCAUAUCUAUUGAAUCUAUCACGGUAAAAGUCGGAUGGCAAACUUCUGUAUGGCGCUAUCCGGAUUUCUUUGGGAAGAGGAAUUCUUGUAGUGCAGGCUUGAUAACAGAUAUUCAAAUUACACGUUGGCAUUCAAGACAUGCUUAAAAUAUCAACCUCUCAGCGGUACAGCGCGUUAACAGCCUUGAACUCUGCACCCUCAGAGCGUGUUGUGGUGCUGACUUUGUAACACGGCACCUACAGUUACCCUGCCUGCAUCGCCGGCGGUGCCUAUUUAACAAAAAAUGGAUCCGGAAAAAUGAAUGCACAGACAAAUCCUUCUGGCCUGCACAUCAUCUGCAGCAGCUAGAAGUUACAUAGAGGAGUUAAGGCAUGUUAUGGCCUAAUAACAUGCUUAAUCCCACUUUAUCAUCCUGUUGCACUGACAUCAUAUGAACAGCUUUGAAGCAGUCAUCCACUGUUGGCUACCCUCGGAGCUGUGAUAACAUGCUAGGCGACACCCAUGGUCUGACUCUGUCUUUAUGCUGUUCUCAUAAAAUGAUUCUUCUCUGACACCUCAAAUCAAGAAAGAAGAAUCAAAAACAAUAUCAGGAUUACAGAAAACCUUACAUGAAGAUAUGAAAAUAACUUAUCUGCUAUUGCUGUUGGCUCUUUUCUGUGUGACUGGAAUUUUCUUUUGCUAGAACUGACUUGUCUCAGCAAGGAUGCAUAUUCUAUAAAUAGAGCACUGUUUCUAUUUCAAAAUUAGCAAUAAGAUGAGGGAAAACAUAAAACAUUCUGCAUCAUCAUGUCCUGACCCUAUGAACAACCCCAGACACAGUGAUCCCAGAGGCACAGCUGUGGGUCAGGUCACGUGGUGGGGUUGCAGCUGGCUGCAGGGCAGAGGCUGCCUGCUGAGCAAACCUCUAACUGCCACACAGCAUCCCAGUUUGUAAAAGAAACUGCAUCCCAUAACGACUUUUAGUAUACCACGUGCAUAUUAUAGGUGCUCCUUUGUGUACUCCUGUGCACCUUAUUUACAUGCUUAUGAUACUCUGUGAGAUACAAGCUCACAUGUUUUCCUUUGUGUAAGCUGGGAGCAAUCUUGUGGCAUUACUCUUCCAAAAAGAAGCCUGGAAACAACCUUCCAUGGUUUCAUGCAAACCUGCUUUAUUUCCAGUUUCUAACCAUCUCUAAUAUAGCUUAAAAAUUCCAUGUGUAUUUAAUUAAGUUUCCCUUUCUCUUGGAGACUGGGAGGGAGGGCAGAGAGAAAAUAAUGCAAUAGAAAGCCAAGAAAAUUAGAUCUGGAGAUGAGGUAAAGGAAACAGACACUGAACAAAUGAUUGAGAUGGGGAGAAUAUUUAUUUGGGGGAAGUCAUAGGAGCAUUCUACUAACUGUGCUGUUUAGAGCCUGAGUGCAAGAUAAUAUUUUAUCCACGAAAUAACCAUGAACAAAAGAAACUUGCUUUCUGUAUAUUAAGUUUGAGGUAAGUAACAGAAGAGAGGAAGAAUGUGGGUUUAAAUAGCACCAAAACAUGUUAAGGUCUUCCAAGCCAGUGUUGAUACAGUUUUUGCAUCCACAGCACAAAACUGUUGGGAGUUUAGCUUCCUGCAGCUCCCAUAAGGAAACCCAGAGUCCCGUAGCUUUCAGGAAGAGUUAAGAAUAAUACCACUAAGUGUAUUUCCACAUGUCAUUAUCAGCAGCAAAGGCCCUAUGCUACACUUGCUGAUGCUAGUGAAGCUCUGUGCAGGCUGUGUUCUUCCAAGAGCUAAUUGUGGUACUUGGUGGCUACAAAGUGCAUCACCUCAGUCCAACCACUUUCCAGCCCUUUUAGUUGCACAUCAAAUGAGAUACAAAUGUUAGUUGCUACAUGUUAUAGUAAGAGGUAAACCUGUCAGUACAAGAACAGAUGGUGGACUUUUCUUACACGAAAUGUAAGAGACAUGAUUACACCCAACAAGCUGAUCAACCCUUGAACACAGCAGACAGUAUACUCUUUGGAUUUGUGGAUAGGUUUCACUUAAUAGAAUGUAUGUGCCAUUCAACACCAGAGAACAAGUGAAGAUGAGGAGAAAGAAAUGAGAAGAUGACAACAUUUAUUUGGCAAGAAUAGUUACGGAAAGAUUUUGCUCUGUGAUAAGUUCAAACAAAGGAAAGCAUGCAUACUAAGGAAAGAACUAGUCAUUAGGAUAAAAAGAAUGGGUUUUCUUGUUUGUUUUACUGAGAACAAAACAACUGAAAAAUACAUCCAAACAAACUAAUUUACACUUAAAGUGAUUAUUAUGGAUUACAUUAUAUUUGGGCCUGCAAUAAAAUUUGUUAUGUGCUCUUAAGUUACAACUUGCUUUCAGUACAUUUAAAUGUAUGGACACUGCAGAAGGACUCCAGGGAAUUAGACAUGCAGUUGAAAGCAAUGCAGACUGGAAAGCUGUGCAUCUUCCUUCCAGAUUUUCGUGAAGCUCUCCCACUCUGCUCAGAAUCCAAGGAGCCCACCUCUUUCUACUGCACUGUUUCCUCUUCUACACUCUGGAGUAGCCUUUAAAAUUAAAGAGAUGGCAGCUGGCACCUUAGAGAUGUAUUUUCUUACAGUUGCAACAGUCAGAAUAUUGCCUUUACAUUGGGAAGAGGUCAUGUGGCACCACCGUUACUGCUGCUUCAAACAUUUCUGUAUGCAUGGAAUACUCCAGGGCUUCCUGAAAAUUUCCAAUCUAUUUCUCUUACUUUAUUCCCAACUAGAACCCUACAGCCACACUGCAUCCAGACUUUGUUAUUCCGGAACCAGACAAAGAUACUUGCUAUUUAUGUUAUCAUGGGAUUAAAAAAAAAAAAAA